GACAAUGUUAAAUAGCCCCCUCCUAAGGGGCAGGUUGCAGGUUCGAAUCCUGCCGGGGUCA
rnacentral:tRNA from 1 species